ensembl:lncRNA
GCACAAUGCAGAAAACUAGUCUUCAAGAAGAGAGACAGAGAAAGCCGACGUGCAGGAUGCUGUGAACUUUGUGUCUCCCAAACGUACAUGCUGAAACCUAAACCAGAAUGUGAUGGUGUUGGGGGCUGGGCCCUUUAGCAGAGUCUGGCCAAGUCCUACCUGCCCCUCGAGAUUCUGUUGGAACGUCUCUCCGAGAAGCCCCCUUCUGGCUCCCUGCUUUGUCAACUGUGAACCACACGUUCACUGCAUUGCCCUGCAAUGAUGGGUUCACAGACGAGUCUCGCGAAUCUGUGGAUUCCCCAAGGAAGCACUCAAGACAUAAAGAGGUAUGAAGAACAACAGAGUGGAUACCCAUGGACACAACCCAGUUGGUACAGCUGAAAAUAAAAUGGGCACAAGGGCCUUCCCUUAAAGAAGGGCUGGAACCAUUUCCAGCCCCUCUAGUUGCAGUCUUGUGUUUCCAAGGAACUGAAAAAUUGAUUUCAAACCUUGCGCCCAGGGCAGAGCCUGGUAUCUCCACAUCCAGACACAAAGUUCUCAUGCCACCCUCUUCUAAGGAGAAGGCAUCUCCCUCCUGCCUUGGGCCUUGGCAGGCUCUGCCACACCCCCUUCGAGGACAGACUUGGAGACUCUCUGAAAGGAAGGAAGAGGGGAAGGAAUUCAGGUUCCCCAUCAGCGUAGGCGUGCCCCCUGAUCAUCCUGACCAUGGGCUCCAUGAGAUUUUGGGUGAGGGGCGCAGGAUGGAAAACACCCAUGGGGGAAGUGCCUUAGGAAAGAAAUGAGCAAAUGAAGCGAACAAAGAUGGGAGGAUUCAGAAACCACCUGGACCUGCUUUCAUUCAUGCCAAGGCCUCUGGAGGGGGAUUCGUCAGGAAUUGCCUGUCAGAAGUCACUUCAGUUAUGCCGUCAUGUCCCUUCUAGGUCAGGACAGCAAGCCAGAGGUUGCGGUUUGAACAUGAAUAGGCAAGAUUCCUACUGAGGGAUUUGAGGGACUCAAGUAAGUGGAUGACUUACUGAAGAAAAUAAACAUUCAUGCUACAGUAAGACAGGAGCUAUCAUAAAGGGGAACAUAUAGGAUGUAAGGGAAGCCUCUGAAUCACACUUGGGCGCUGAGGAAGGCUUCCUGGAGGAGGUGAUGUUUGUCCUGCAGUGUGGCAAGUCACAUGCUAGGCAUGAUGAGUUCAUAAUGCUCGCUGGGAGCUACAAGUGGGCCCACCCUCCCGGAGCGAAAGGUGGGAGUGGGCGGUGGUGGGGGAGGUGGCCAGGGUGAUAUCACAAAGACCUGUGCGCUAAGCCAAGGAGUGGGAACCUUCUGCAAGCUAGCGGCAGCCACCAGAGGACUCAAGGCAGACCUGAGGCAGGGAAGAGUCCUGGAGAGAAGUGGAGAGCCCUGUGGAGCUGCGGGAUGGGGACUGGGAGGCAUAAGAACAAUGAGGAGGGCAUCACAGGACCGAGGUGAGAAGCCACGAGGAUCUGAAGUAAGAAGGUGAGGAGGUCUGCACCCCGUGGACACAGUGAUGGUGCCUCUCAGGGCUUGGGUUUGGCUGACUGCUAGUUGGCAGAGCUACUCACUGACACAAGAAUUCAGGGGAGAAGCAGACCUGGGCUUGGCCUUUGGAUGCUGGGGCAGCAGGUGAGUCACAAAUAUUAUAGAAGGCAUCAGACCCCCAGAGAGGCUACAAGCCUGAAAGCCACUAGAAGCAGACGGAAGGCCAGAGAAGGGUGAAGACUUGAGUGCAGGUAACAGGGCCUCUGAACGCACACCUGCUUUUCUGAGGAGACACCCUGCACAGGCUUCCCUGAGUCUCCAAGGCUGCAGCCUAGUUAUUCAUUUUAGCUCCAACAUUGUAAAGCCCAGGAUGGAACUGACAUCACCCCUGGACACACCUGUGGGCCUCAGUGAAGCAGCUCAAUCUCUAUUUAAUUUGGUUCUAUUUUAAAAUUCUGUAGUUUUUAAAAAUAUAUAUAUACAUGGUUUAAAAAUCAGUUAUGUAUCAAAAAUAUCACUGCUUACCCUGCUUUCCUGGUCCUCUGAGUCAACUAUUUUCAGCCAUUAGCAGAUGAUUUUUUUUGUUUGGUAUUUACCUUCCUAGCUCUAAACAACAUGGGUGUAUAGAUACUUGCUGGUUUUGUCCACAUUAGGCAUUAUCCAUUGACUUUCCAAUACAGUGCACAGGGAUUCAGCUCUGCUCACUCCACCCUCACCUCCACCACAUACGUGUGCCCACUUCCCGUUCCUCCAUCCUCCCAAUACAGUUGUCAUAUUUGGUUAUAUCAAUUUUCAGUCUUUACAUAUUAUGGUUGUGUUCAUGCUGUUCACAACUGAGUCACUUCAAGUAACCAUGAUUUUAUUCCCCUUUCCUCCAUAGCUUUUUAUAUUCCACCAGAGUUCAAAAUUGUGGCACUUAAUUUGUGCUUAUCACUACUCCAAUCCCCCAGUUCUCUCCCAAUUAUGUAAACCAUUCCCAGUAUUUUCAGACACAGUCUUAUCAAUGUCAUCUUUUGGACCAAUCUUUCCUGGAGUCUUUGAUCAGCUUCCAUCAGAACAGGCCGUUUC